GAUGAACGCUAGCUACAGGCUUAACACAUGCAAGUCGAGGGGAAACGACAUCGAAAGCUUGCUUUUGAUGGGCGUCGACCGGCGCACGGGUGAGUAACGCGUAUCCAACCUGCCCAUCACUUGGGGAUAACCUUGCGAAAGUAAGACUAAUACCCAAUGAUAUCUCUAGAAGACAUCUGAAAGCGAUUAAAGAUUUAUCGGUGAUGGAUGGGGAUGCGUCUGAUUAGCUUGUUGGCGGGGUAACGGCCCACCAAGGCAACGAUCAGUAGGGGUUCUGAGAGGAAGGUCCCCCACAUUGGAACUGAGACACGGUCCAAACUCCUACGGGAGGCAGCAGUGAGGAAUAUUGGUCAAUGGGCGAGAGCCUGAACCAGCCAAGUAGCGUGCAGGAAGACGGCCCUAUGGGUUGUAAACUGCUUUUAUAAGGGAAUAAAGUGAGAGUCGUGACUCUUUUUGUAUGUACCUUAUGAAUAAGGACCGGCUAACUCCGUG
rnacentral:rRNA from 1 species